rnacentral:rRNA from 1 species
GGGUUGUGAGGUUAAGCGACUAAGCGUACACGGUGGAUGCCCUGGCAGUCAGAGGCGAUGAAGGACGUGCUAAUCUGCGAAAAGCGUCGGUAAGGUGAUAUGAACCGUUAUAACCGGCGAUGUCCGAAUGGGGAAACCCAGUGCAAUUCGUUGCACUAUCGUUAACUGAAUACAUAGGUUAACGAGGCGAACCGGGGGAACUGAAACAUCUAAGUACCCCGAGGAAAAGAAAUCAACCGAGAUUCCCCCAGUAGCGGCGAGCGAACGGGGAGCAGCCCAGAGUCUGAAUCAGCUUGUGUG